rnacentral:rRNA from 1 species
UGCCAGCAGCCGCGGUAAUACGGAGGGUGCAAGCGUUGUUCGGAAUUAUUGGGCGUAAAGCGGGUGUAGGCGGCUUUGCAAGUCAAGUGUGAAAUCCCAGGGCCCAACCCUGGAACUGCACUCGAUACUGCAGAGCUAGAGUCCCGGAGAGGAUGGCGGAAUUCCAGGUGUAGAGGUGAAAUUCGUAGAUAUCUGGAGGAACACCAGUGGCGAAGGCGGCCAUCUGGACGGUGACUGACGCUCAGACCCGAAAGUGUGGGGAGCAAACAGGAUUAGAUA